GCAUUGGUGGUUCAGUGGUAGAAUUCUCACCUGCCAUGCUGGAGACCCGUGUCUGAUUCCCAGCCAAUGCA
rfam:Danio rerio chromosome 4, GRCz11 reference primary assembly.